rnacentral:rRNA from 1 species
AACGACUGCUAAUACCUCAUAACAUCUCCGGAUCAAAGAUUUAUCGCUGAAGAAUGGGCCCGCGCCUGAUUAGGUAGUUGGUAAGGUAACGGCUUACCAAGCCUUCGAUCAGUAGCUGGUUUGAGAGGAUGAUCAGCCACACUGGUACUGAGACACGGACCAGACUCCUACGGGAGGCAGCAGUGAGGAAUAUUGGACAAUGGGCGCAAGUGAUCCAGCCAUGCCGCGUGAGUGAUGAAGGCCCUAGGGUUGUAAAGCUCUUUCAGAUGCGAAGAUAAUGACGGUAACAUCAGAAGAAGCCCCGGCUAACUCCGUGCCAGCAGCCGCGGUAAUACGGAGGGGGCGAGCGUUGUUCGGAAUCACUGGGCGUAAAGCGACCGCAGCGGCUUAGCAAGUUAGAAGUGAAAUCCCGGAGCUCAACUCCGAACUGCUUUUAAAACUGCUUCGCUUGAGUCCGAGAGAGGUAAGGAGAAUUCCUAGUGUAGAGGUGAAAUUCGUAGAUAUUAGGAGGAAUACCAGUGGCGUAGCGCCUUACUGGCUCGGUACUGACGCUCAUGGUCGAAAGCGUGGGGAGCAAACAGGAUUAGAUACCCUGG